AUACUUACCUGGCAGAUGAGAUACUAUGAUCACACAGGUGGUCUCCCCAGGAUGAACCUUAUCCAUUGCACUAUGGAUGUGCUGACGCCUGUGAGCUCCCCAAAUGUGGGAAACGCGACUGUAUAAUUUGCGAUAGUGGGGGACUGUGUUCAUGAUUUCCCCUG
ensembl:snRNA U1 U1 spliceosomal RNA